GACUUCGUGGCCAAGUUGGUUAAGGCGUACGACUCGUGAUCGUAAGAUCGAGAGUUCGACCCUCUCCGAGGUCG
rnacentral:tRNA from 1 species